rnacentral:rRNA from 1 species
CCAGCAGCUGCGGUAAUUCCAGCUCCAAUAGCGUAUAUUUAAGUUGUUGCAGUUAAAAAGCUCGUAGUUGGAUUUCGGGCGGGGCCUGCCGGUCCGCCUUUGGUGUGCACUGGCAGGGUCCGCCUUGCUGUCGGGGACGGGUUCCUGGGCUUUACUGUCUGGGACUCGGAGUCGACGUGGUUACUUUGAGUAAAUUAGAGUGUUCAAAGCAGGCUUACGCUCUGAAUACAUUAGCAUGGAAUAACGCGAUAGGACUCUGGCCUAUCUUGUUGGUCUGUGGGACCGGAGUAAUGAUUAAGAGGGACAGUCGGGGGCAUUCGUAUUUCAUUGUCAGAGGUGAAAUUCUUGGA